AUUGAACGCUGGCGGAAUGCUUUACACAUGCAAGUCGAACGGCAGCACGGACUUCGGUCUGGUGGCGAGUGGCGAACGGGUGAGUAAUGUAUCGGAACGUGCCCAGUCGUGGGGGAUAACGUAGUGAAAAUUACGCUAAUACCGCAUACGAUCUAUGGACGAAAGCGGGGGAUCGCAAGACCUCGCGCGAUUGGAGCGGCCGAUAGCAGAUUAGGUAGUUGGUGGGGUAAAGGCCCACCAAGCCAACGAUCUGUAGCUGGUCUGAGAGGACGACCAGCCACACUGGAACUGAGACACGGUCCAGACUCCUACGGGAGGCAGCAGUGGGGAAUUUUGGACAAUGGGCGAAAGCCUGAUCCAGCCAUUCCGCGUGCAGGAUGAAGGCCCUCGGGUUGUAAACUGCUUUUGUACAGAACGAAAAGGUUUCUACUAAUACUAGGAGCUCAUGACGGUACUGUAAGGAUAAGCACCGGCUAACUACGUGCCAGCCGCCGCAGUAA
rnacentral:rRNA from 1 species